rnacentral:rRNA from 1 species
UACAGAGGGGGCAAGCGUUGUUCGGAAUUACUGGGCGUAAAGGGCGCGUAGGCGGCCUGUUAAGUCGAACGUGAAAUCCCUGGGCUCAACCCAGGAACUGCGUCCGAUACUGGGAGGCUCGAAUCCGGGAGAGGGAUGUGGAAUUCCAGGUGUAGCGGUGAAAUGCGUAGAUAUCUGGAGGAACACCGGUGGCGAAGGCGGCAUCCUGGACCGGUAUUGACGCUGAGGCGCGAAAGCCAGGGGAGCAAACGGG